GUGCCAGCAGCCGCGGUAAGACAGAGGGUGCAAACGUUGUUCGGAAUUACUGGGCGUAAAGCGCGUGUAGGCGGCUCGGAAAGUCGGAUGUGAAAGCCCAGGGCUCAACCCUGGAAGUGCACUCGAAACUCCCGAGCUCGAGUCCCGGAGAGGAAGGCGGAAUUCUCGGUGUAGAGGUGAAAUUCGUAGAUAUCGAGAGGAACACCUGUGGCGAAGGCGGCCUUCUGGACGGUGACUGACGCUGAGACGCGAAAGCGUGGGGAGCAAACAGGAUUAGAUACCCUGGUAGUCC
rnacentral:rRNA from 1 species